GCGGAUAUAGCUCAGUAGUAGAGCACUUGCUUAGCAUGUGUGAGGCCCUGGGUUCAAUCCCUACUAUCCCCC
rnacentral:tRNA from 1 species